GGCUCCGUGGCUUAAUGGUUACGGCUUCUGCCUCACAAGCAGAAGGUUCAGGGAUCAAAUCCCGGUCGGUAUCU
rfam:Culex pipiens quinquefasciatus supercont3.898 genomic scaffold, whole genome shotgun sequence.